rnacentral:rRNA from 1 species
CCUACGGGAGGCAGCAGUGAGGAAUAUUGGUCAAUGGACGAGAGUCUGAACCAGCCAAGUAGCGUGAAGGAUGACUGCCCUAUGGGUUGUAAACUUCUUUUAUCUGGGAAUAAAAUGUUCCACGUGUGGGAUUUUGUAUGUACCAUAUGAAUAAGGAUCGGCUAACUCCGUGCCAGCAGCCGCGGUAAUACGGAGGAUCCGAGCGUUAUCCGGAUUUAUUGGGUUUAAAGGGAGCGUAGGUUGAUUGUUAAGUCAGUUGUGAAAGUUUGCGGCUCAACCGUAAAAUUGCAGUUGAAACUGGCAGUCUGGAGUACAGUAGAGGUGGGCGGAAUUCGUGGUGUAGCGGUGAAAUGCUUAGAUAUCACGAAGAACUCCGAUUGCGAAGGCAGCUCACUGGACUGCAACUGACACUGAGGCUCGAAAGUGUGGGUAUCAAACAGGAUUAGAUACCCCAGUAGUC